UGUGAUAGCAGGUUGUCAUUGUGGCUGUGUUUAAUUUUUCAAUUCCUCUUGGCUUAAUUUGGUAAUUUGAACUUAGAUUUAAACAUAUUUGCUUCAAUGCUUCUCUGCAUGCUUGUGCAAGAUUUUCACUGACUUUCUCAUUCAUCAUUGGAAUAUAAUUGGUCAUUUUUUUACUUACAUUAUAUAUCCUCAAAUAAUUGUUAUUUGAUUGUGU
rnacentral:lncRNA from 1 species